CCCCAAUCCUGCUCCAGAACGAAGAGGCUCCAGGAGGACCUCAGUCAAGCCACGGUGACUGGACCAGAGGCGCUGAGGUUUUCCCUGGUUUCAGCUAGGAAGUGGUCCUUGGCAGAGGUACUCAGCUGGGGUAGAGGGAGCUUCACUACACUCUCCCACUCCAUGUAGAAAUUCCCCCAAUAUAUUGGACACAACCAGUCGUAUUAGGUCUAAGAAAGACUGUUUUAUUAAGGCCAAGUUGCCUGUUUAUACAUACAGACCCCCAGCAUGGGUUCUCCAUAAAAUACAAUAGUAACCCCGCCUAGGCGUCUCUGUGUCUGGGAGAUAAGUGCGUGUACUUUUGCUUAAACAAAUU